UCCUACGGGAGGCAGCAGUGGGGAAUAUUGCACAAUGGGGGGAACCCUGAUGCAGCGAUGCCGCGUGAAGGAAGAAGGUCUUCGGAUCGUAAAGUUCUGUUGAAGGGGAAAAAGAGCGGAGAGAGGAAAUGGUCUCCGAUUGAUAUUACCCUUCGAGGAAGUCACGGCUAACUACGUGCCAGCAGCCGCGGUAAUACGUAGGUGGCGAGCGUUAUCCGGAAUGAUUGGGCGUAAAGGGUGCGUAGGCGGCCUGCUAAGUCUGGAGUGACAGGUACCGGCUCAACCGGUA
rnacentral:rRNA from 1 species